CCUACGGGAGGCAGCAGUGGGGAAUUUUCCGCAAUGGGCGAAAGCCUGACGGAGCAAUACCGCGUGAGGGAAGACGGCCUAUGGGUUGUAAACCUCUUUUUUCAGGGAGGAAUAACUGACGUGUACCUGAAGAGUAAGCAUCGGCUAACUCCGUGCCAGCAGCCGCGGUAAGACGGAGGAUGCAAGUGUUAUCCGGAAUCACUGGGCGUAAAGCGUCUGUAGGUUGUUGAACAAGUCAACUGUUAAAUCUUGAAGCUUAACUUCAAAAUCGCAGUCGAAACUGUUCGACUAGAGUAUAGUAGGGGUAAAGGGAAUUUCCAGUGGAGCGGUGAAAUGCGUAGAUAUUGGAAAGAACACCGAUGGCGAAGGCACUUUACUGGGCUAUUACUGACACUCAGAGACGAAAGCUAGGGUAGCAAAUGGGAUUAGAUACCCCAGUAGUCCUAGCCGUAAACAAUGGAUACUAGAUGUUGAACAGAUCGACCUGUGCAGUAUCAAAGCUAACGCGUUAAGUAUCCCGCCUGGGAAGUAUGCUCGCAAGAGUGAAACUCAAAGGAAUUGACG
rnacentral:rRNA from 1 species